UCCCUGGUGGUUCAGUGGCUAAGACUCUGGGCUCCCAGUGCUGGAGUUCCGGGUUUGAUCCCUGGUCAGGGAA
rnacentral:tRNA from 1 species